rnacentral:rRNA from 1 species
UGAACGCUGGCGGCAGGCCUAACACAUGCAAGUCGAGCGGUAACAGGGAGUAGCUUGCUACUCCGCUGACGAGCGGCGGACGGGUGAGUAAUGUCUGGGGAUCUGCCUGAUGGAGGGGGAUAACUACUGGAAACGGUAGCUAAUACCGCAUAACGUCGCAAGACCAAAGAGGGGGACCUUCGGGCCUCUUGCCAUCGGAUGAACCCAGAUGGGAUUAGCUAGUAGGUGGGGUAAUGGCUCACCUAGGCGACGAUCCCUAGCUGGUCUGAGAGGAUGACCAGCCACACUGGAACUGAGACACGGUCCAGACUCCUACGGGAGGCAGCAGUGGGGAAUAUUGCACAAUGGGCGCAAGCCUGAUGCAGCCAUGCCGCGUGUGUGAAGAAGGCCUUCGGGUUGUAAAGCACUUUCAGCGAGGAGGAAGGCAUUAAGGUUAAUAACCUUGGUGAUUGACGUUACUCGCAGAAGAAGCACCGGCUAACUCCGUGCCAGCAGCCGCGGUAAUACGGAGGGUGCAAGCGUUAAUCGGAAUUACUGGGCGUAAAGCGCACGCAGGCGGUUUGUUAAGUCGGAUGUGAAAUCCCCGGGCUCAACCUGGGAACUGCAUUCGAAACUGGCAAGCUUGAGUCUUGUAGAGGGGGGUAGAAUUCCAGGUGUAGCGGUGAAAUGCGUAGAGAUCUGGAGGAAUACCGGUGGCGAAGGCGGCCCCCUGGACAAAGACUGACGCUCAGGUGCGAA